AAACCGCACCCAAAACCGCAUCGU
rnacentral:snRNA from 1 species